rnacentral:lncRNA from 10 species
CCCAAAGAAAAAAACAAAUGUUACCCAAUAGGCAAACAAUGCUGAGAGUUCACUUCCUCUAACUCUGUAGUUAAGUUACUCACUCAGUAUAACAUCACCCUCCUGCCAGGGGUUGAAGUCAGGAAGUAGUUUAUUUUCGCUGAAACUGAAGGGGGAAGUUAAAGAGAAAAAUAGCUGCAACUUGGUCAAUUCAGGAAAACCAGGUACGAAAAAAGAGGAGCAAGUUAAAGGGAAAGCCAGCUCGGAUUUGCUCACCAGUAAAAGGCAAAAAUCCCAGUGUUAUUCAUCUGCAUUUGGUGUGAAAGACAAAAGCUCAACUGGGAUCUGAGGCUUUCUGUGUCAGAGGGCAAGGAGUCAAUGGGGUUAUGAGGAAGUAAGACCACUUGAGACAUCAAAGAAAAGUAGAUCAAAUCACUAGACUCCUCCAAACAGGAGUGGGUGAAGACAAAAAGUGGAGAGAAUCCAGAGGGAAGAGAGGAGUAGGGAAAAUGGUGGAAAGGGAAGGUUUUUGAGAUGGAAGGCAGAGAAUGGGAACAAAAGAAGAAAAAGCUGUUUGUUUCAAAUCAAUAUUCUCCAAGAGGAUGUCUUGUUUCCCCAGGGAUAUUCUGAGGGACUCACAGGAUCAGAGCUGCGACACUUCUAACAUAUGAAUUCUCUCAAUUCUGAUGCCCUUUGACCUCUGCCACACAAUGCCAAGACAAACCCAGACCCCAGGCCCUGGAAACAGAGGAGGGGCAGGUUUUCUCAGAGUUAACUUUCUCUAACCUUGAAGCCGAAUCCAGGGGCAGGAGCAGGAGUCAACUCUGAGAAGACGUGAUAGAGCUUCAGCAACAUGGAGAGGAGAUAGCCGGUCUGGCUAGGAUGGAAGAAAUGUACAUGGAGAAGAAAGACAGAAGAACCAUCACUGAGCACUAAACUAAUCAGCCAUAAUGUGCAGAUUGACUGGCAAGCCUAUCACCACCUUGAUAACAGAUGACAUUAAAGAGAAAGGUAAAUAUAUGCUGUUUUGCUAAGUUUGUGCAAUGGCCAGAGAGGAAGAAAAAAUAUGUAGAAUGAAUGAACACAGACUACCAGCCCACUUAGAUAGAAAUAUACAUCCAUUGUAAAUAUAUUUCAGUAUAGUUGUAAACAGCUAUUGUUUGGCACUGAAAAAGUAGGUAUUUGUCAUCACAGAAGAAUUAAGAUUAUUUUGAGGCUUUUCUUAUCCAUGUAUAUCCAUGAAUAAUCACAUAUACAUACAUAUAUUUCAAAAUUGUCUUCUAUGAAAGAUUUUAUAUAUGUAAUCCUGUGUGUAUAUAAAUAUAAUAUAUAUAUAUAUAAUAUGUAUUCUUAAUCUUUAGAAUAUGAUUUAGAAAUUCUAAUUUGGGGUCAUAAUUAAAAAUAUGUUUCAUGAUAAGAAUACUAGAGGAGAGAGACAUUCAUUUUUUAAUGCAUAUAUAGAGAUGGAUAACAUAGUCAACAAAUAUCCCCCAAAACUUGGUGAGAAGAAACUGUUAUUUUCCAAAACUUUGAUAUGAUGAGGCAAAUAGAAAGCAAAAUCCCUCAUGGAGGCAGAAGAGGAGGAACUUAACAAAUGCCUGUUGAAUAAAUGAAUGAAUGUUUGAGCAUCUACAAUUUUGCAAUGAAUGUUCAGUUUCUUUUUACACAAAAACAUGGCCCUUUCAAAAAGUUACAUUCCUGUUUAUAAGAGACAAAUCUCUCCCCACCCUCUCACUUUCAUUCCUUCCCCUUCAUUUCUCCCUCUCUUGCUUCCUUCCUUCCUGCCUUCCUACCUGCCUACCAUUCUUCUCCAGCAAAUAUUGAGUGCCUUCUCUGGAGCUGGUAUUGUAUGCUGUAUUAUGAAUAAGACAGAUAAAAGAGGCUUUUUGCCCUUAAGAAACUUAUUAUACUCAAGAAAAG